UACGUAGGGUGCGAGCGUUAAUCGGAAUUGCUGGGCGUAAAGGGUGCGCAGGCGGAUUGGCAAGUCAGAGGUGAAAUCUCACGGCUUAACCGUGAAACUGCCUUUGAUACUGCUAAUCUUGAGUUAGGGAGAGGUUGAUGGAAUUCCAGGUGUAGCGGUGAAAUGCGUAGAUAUCUGGAAGAACACCAGUGGCGAAGGCGGUCAACUGGCCCGUAACUGACGCUCAUGCACGAAAGCGUGGGUAGCGAACAGG
rnacentral:rRNA from 1 species